rnacentral:rRNA from 1 species
AACGAACGCUGGCGGCAGGCCUAACACAUGCAAGUCGAACGCCCUAGCAAUGGGGAGUGGCGCACGGGUGCGUAACGCGUGGGAAUAUGCCCUUCACUGCGGAAUAACGUUUGGAACGAACGCUAAUACCGCAUAAUGACUCCGGUCCAAAGAUUUAUCGGUGAAGGAUUAGCCCGCGUUAGAUUAGCUAGUUGGUGAGGUAAUGGCUCACCAAGGCGACGAUCUAUAGCUGGUCUGAGAGGAUGAUCAGCCACACUGGGACUGAGACACGGCCCAGACUCCUACGGGAGGCAGCAGUGAGGAAUAUUGGACAAUGGGCGCAAGCCUGAACCAGCCAUGCCGCGUGCAGGAAGAAGGCCUUCUGGGUUGUAAACUGCUUUUGCCAGGGGAUAAAAUUUCCAUGCGUGGAAAACUGAAGGUACCUGGUGAAUAAGCCACGGCUAACUACGUGCCAGCAGCCGCGGUAAU